UCAAAGUAGAUGAUGCAUUUGGUGUAGACACUACAAAAAAAUGGUUUUUCAGUGGAGGUUAUUCUGUGAGAGUUAUGAAAGCCCUCCACAAAUUAACAUUGUAUAAGAGAGUUAAAAGGAUUUACUUAAACGCUCAUGAUACCGGAGGUUUUAAUUGUUUACUAAAGAGGUUUUUGACCUCCCUAAAUUAAAAUACAAUUUUCACCGUUCUAACUUCUCGUUUACACUCAAAUUUUCCUAAAUUAAUUAUCCCUCCAUUCUUUUCCCCCUUUUCCAAGCCAAACUUUCAUUCUUUUUUCCUCACAUUUUCCCCUUUCCCCCAAUACGCACCUCUCAUCUUUACCCUAAAAGUUUCCACUCAACCAUUUGAUUUCUCCAGGAACGCAGCUCGUCCUCAUUUCUCCUCAACGAACGCAACUCCCGCAACCUAGCUCAUCCUUGCAACGAAUACAGCUCCUGCAACGCUGCUCAUAAUCAUUUUGUGGUCUCCGUUGUCAUCUAGGGUUCAUCUCUGUCGCUAGUUGUUGUUGUCGUUACGGUCGCCGAUUCAUUCUGAGUUGUGGUGGUCGUCGAUUCCUUUGUUGCAGUGGUGGCCGUUGCGUCCUUAGUUGCAGUUGCCGUUGAGUUACCUCGUUCCCCCAUUUUGAAAGGUAAUAAAAUCAGUUUUAGGUUAUUGGUUUUAUUCUGAAUGUGGACUACUGUUUUCUGGGUGUUAUUUUUGUGUAUUCUGCCUUAUUCAUAUUUGUGAUCUAUUUUGGCUUUCAUCUAUAUUGUUAGAGUUGGAGUGGUGAUUUCCUUGGCAAAGUGCUUAUCUUUUAGCUUAUGAAAUUGAAUUCAAAUGUGCUUAAGUUUCUUGUAGUGUUUGAGUUGGCUGCCUGGAUGAAAUUUUAGAGGUUGAUAGAUUGAGGAUAUAUAAAGGCUACCUAACAUCCACAUAUGUUUUCUUUUAUGUUUAUGUAUUUGUAGUGCUUAACUUUAGUGGAUAGAAAACUGAAAUCAUUCCCCUGUGAUAAAGAAAUCAUUAAUACUUGCAUAACUUUCCCCUGUGAUAAAGAAAUCUUUAAUAACAAAAGUAAAGAAUCCAUUUCAGCUUUCGGUGCAUUGACCUGAGGAAGAAAAC
rnacentral:lncRNA from 1 species